UACGAAGGGGGCGAGCGUUGUUCGGAAUUACUGGGCGUAAAGGGCGCGUAGGCGGUUUGUUAAGCGAGAUGUGAAAGCCCCGGGCUCAACCUGGGAACUGCAUCCGAUACUGGCAGACUAGAGUGCGGGAGAGGGAGGUAGAAUUCCACGUGUAGCGGUGAAAUGCGUAGAUAUCACUUAGAAUACCAGUGGCGAAGGCGGCCCCCUGGACAGAUACUGACACUCAGAUGCGAAAGCGUGGGGAGCAAACAGG
rnacentral:rRNA from 1 species